UACGGAGGGCGCAAGCGUUAUCCGGAAUUAUUGGGCGUAAAGAGCUCGUAGGCGGUUUGUCGCGUCUGCCGUGAAAGUCCGGGGCUCAACUCCGGAUCUGCGGUGGGUACGGGCAGACUAGAGUGAUGUAGGGGAGACUGGAAUUCCUGGUGUAGCGGUGAAAUGCGCAGAUAUCAGGAGGAACACCGAGGGCGAAGGCAGGUCUCUGGGCAUUAACUGACGCUGAGGAGCGAAAGCAUGGGGAGCGAACAGG
rnacentral:rRNA from 1 species